rnacentral:rRNA from 1 species
UGCCAGCAGCCGCGGUAAGACGAAGGUGGCUAGCGUUAUUCGGAUUUACUGGGCAUAAAGCGCGCGUAGGCGGCCUGGUCAGUCGGAGGUGAAAUCCCACAGCUCAACUGUGGAACUGCCCCCGAUACUGCCAGGCUUGAGUGCAGGAGGGGUGACCGGAACUCCAGGUGUAGCGGUGAAAUGCGUAGAUAUCUGGAGGAACACCAGAGGCGAAGGCGGGUCACUGGACUGCAACUGACGCUGAGGUGCGAAAGCUAGGGGAGCGAACCGGAUUAGAUA